UAGUUAUUCAANUUGUCAGAGGUGAAANNCUUGGANUUAUUGAAGACUAACUACUGCGAAAGCAUUUGCCAAGGAUGUUCUCAUUAAUCAAGAACGAAAGUUAGGGGAUCAAAGACGAUCAGAUACCGUCGUAGUCUUAACCAUAAACUAUGCCGACUAGGGAUCGGAUGAUGUUAAUUUUUUAAUGACUCA
rnacentral:rRNA from 1 species